rnacentral:rRNA from 1 species
AGUUAAUUUUAUGGUCAAGCUACUAAGGGCGCAUGGUGGAUGCCUUGGCAGAAGCAGGCGAUGAAGGACGUGGCAAGCUGCGAUAAGCCUCGGGGAGCCGCAAGCAGGCUUUGAUCCGGGGAUUUCCGAAUGGGGAAACCCACGGGGGUAAAACCUCCGUACGGCCCGAUGAAUCCAUAGUCGGGCGCGAGCAAACCCUGGGAAGUGAACCAUCUCAGUACCAGGAGGAAAAGAAAGAAACCUCGAUUGCGAAAGUAGUGGCGAGCGAAAUCGCAAGAGCCUAAACCUGCAACACCUUCGGGUGUUACAGGGGUUGUAGGGUCGACAACAGUAGAGUUACCAAUCCAGUCGUUAGCCGAAGCCCUCUGGAAAGAGGGGCCAUAGAGUGUGAUAGCCACGUAGGCGAAAACGAACUGGACUCGAAGUCGAUACCUGAGUACCGCGGGGCACGAGAAACCCUGCGGGAAGCUACGGAGACCAUUCCGUAAGGCUAAAUACUAGCUUCUGACCGAUAGUGAACCAGUACCGUGAGGGAAAGGUGAAAAGAACCCCUGCGAGGGGAGUGAAAUAGUACCUGAAACCGUGUGCCUACAAACGGUGGGAGGACUAUGCCACGCAAGUGGAAAGUCUGACCGCGUGCCUAUUGCAUAAUGAGCCGGCUAGUUAUUCUUGUCAGCAAGGUUAAGCGUAAGCGAGCCGCAGCGAAAGCGAGUCCUAAUAGGGCGACAAAGUUGGCAGGAAUAGACGCGAAGCGGGAUGAUCUACCCUUGGCCAGGCUGAAGGUGGGGUAACACCCACUGGAGGGCCGAACGGGUGUUUGUUGAAAAAAGCUCCGAUGAGCUGAGGGUAGGGGUGAAAGGCUAAUCAAAUUCCGUGAUAGCUCGUUCUCUCCGAAAUAGCUUUAGGGCUAGCCUCGUGUGAUUUGUCAUGGUGGUAGAGAACUGAAUGGACUAGGGGGCUUUCCAGCUUACUGAAUCCAAUCAAACUUCGAAUGCCAGAGAACAACCAACACGGGAGUCAGACGGCGGGGGCUAAGCUUCGUCGUCGAGAGGAAAACAGUCCAGAUCGCCUGCUAAGGUCCCAAAAUCCAAGCUAAGUGGGAAAGGAAGUCGGAACGCCCAGACAGCCAGGAGGUUGGCUUAGAAGCAGCCAUCCUUUAAAGAAAGCGUAAUAGCUCACUGGUCAAGCGGUCCGGUGCCGACAAUUUAACGGGGCUUAAGCUUGGUACCGAAGCAGCGAAUGCAUGGUGUAACAGCCAUGCGUGGUAGGAGAGCAUUCCCAACAGUUUGAAGCCAGACCGAAAGGACUGGUCGACGGUUGAGAAGAGACCCUGCCGGCAUAAGUAGCGAUAACGGAGGUGGGAACCCUCCGCGCCGAAAGUCUAAGGUUUCCUGAGAAAGGUUAAUCCGCUCGGGGUCAGGCGGUCCCUAAGGCGAGGCCGAAAGGCGUAGCUGAUGGACAUCCGGUUAACAUUCCGGACCUCCCUUGUGUUCGUUAUCACGAUGGGGUGACGCAGGAAGAUAAGCAGGCCGUCCUAUGGCUAUGACGGUCGAUGCGUGUAAGGUGUCUCCGGUAGGCAAAUCCGCCGGGGAGUUAUCACUGAGACGCAAAGCAGUACUCCGUAUGGAGGAAAGCUGCCGAUUCUACACUGCCGAGAAAAACCUCUAAGGAGAACGUAAGGGAACCGUACCUCAAACCGACACAGGUAGACGAGGAGAAUAUCCAAAGGCGCUCGUGAGAACGCUUGUUAAGGAACUCGGCAAAUUAACCCCGUAACUUCGGGAGAAGGGGUGCCCCAGUAGGGUUUAUAGCCCGAAGGGGCCGCAGAGAAAUGCGCACUGCGACUGUUUAACAAAAACACAGGUCUCUGCUAAGUCGAAAACGACGUAUAGGGGCUGACGCCUGCCCGGUGCUGGAAGGUUAAAGGGAGAGGUUAGCCGCAAGGCGAAGCUUCGAACUGAAGCCCCAGUGAACGGCGGCCGUAACUAUAACGGUCCUAAGGUAGCGAAAUUCCUUGUC